GAGGUUCGCCUCAACCCUUAUUCAUUGUUAAUCUGUGAAAGGCUCAUUAAACAAGUUAUGAAUUUAGCCACCUGGUACAACCCUUCGGGGAUGGGAAUAACACUGUCAACUGCAGCGAUAAUGCCUACGAUUACUGUUGAAUUAAGUAGACAGUAGACACUAGAGUAAGGGUGAGUCCGCUCUAUUGUUAGCUGGGAGGAUCCAAGAUUCGUCGGAAGAUCUGAACAGUUGUCGACCAUUAGAUUUUGCCUUGCUUGCAAGCGAAUGCAGCGUGAAUGACUUAGCGUCCUAAUAAGACCUACGGCUUUCUUGUUGACUAGUGGCCAGGAAGAUAUGUUUCUAAUCUAUCAGCUCAGUAGUUUCGGUAAAGGCGAAACGAGGCUAUAACGGAUACGGGGGAUUGGUGUCCAACUCCGGAGAGAGAGCCUGAGAAACGGCUAUCACAUCUAAGGACGGCAGCAGGCGCGUAAAUUACCCAAUUCUAAUUCAGAGAGGUAGUGACAAGACAUAGCGACUUUACACCAAAUGGUGGAAAGGUACCACUUUGUGGUUUGAAAUGGAUGGAGAUUAAACCUCUCCAUGAGUAGCAAUUAGAGGACAAGUCUGGUGCCAGCACCCGCGGUAAUUCCAGCUCUAAAAGUGUAUAUUAAUACUGUUGUAGUUAAAACGCCCGUAGUAAACCAAAGGGUUAUAGUUAUUGAUCUAUCAAGUUCUGUUCAUCAUAGUCGGUCACGUAUUGUGGCUGAUUGGGUGAAUAAGGACAGGUCCUCGGUCUCUAACGGAAGCGAAAGGGUCCGCCCAAUUAGCAUCCGCCAUGGGAUAGGUCAAUGAUUAUGGCUCGUUCCCUAUCAGUCCGCAAGGUCUGAUAGGGCCAAUUGGCACAACCGUAAACAAAUCAGAGUGCUCCAAGCAGGCAAUGUACGGGGUAACCCAUUUGCUUGAAUGAUUUAGCAUGGAAUUGUCACGAAGCCGAUCGGAAUCUUCAAGGGAUUUCCUGAGAAGUGGAAGAUCCGGCGUUCGCAAUGAGACACUGAUAGAGGAUCCAAGUACUAUGGCGCGAGAGGUGAAAUUCAGUGACCGCUAUAUGACUAUCUAAUGCGAAAGCAGUUGUGAUCCAGAGCGUGUCUGUCAAUCAGGGACG
rnacentral:rRNA from 1 species